CUAACUCCGUGCCAGCAGCCGCGGUAAUACGGAGGGUGCGAGCGUUAAUUCGGAAUUACUGGGCGUAAAGCGCAUGCAGGCGGCCUGUUAAGUCAGAUGUGAAAGUCCCGGGGCUUAACCUCGGAAUUGCAUUUGAAACUGGCAGGCUAGAGUCUUGUAGAGGGGGUAGAAUUUCAGGUGUAGCGGUGAAAUGCGUAGAGAUCUGAAGGAAUACCAGUGGCGAAGGCGGCCCCCUGGACAAAGACUGACGCUCAGAUGCGAAAGCGUGGGGAGCAAACAGGAUUAGAUACCCUGGUAG
rnacentral:rRNA from 1 species